UGGGGGAUAUUGCACAAUGGGCGAAAGCCUGAUGCAGCGACGCCGCGUGGGGGAUGAAGGCUUUCGGGUUGUAAACCUCUUUCGCUAUCGAACAAGGCCCGCUUAGGGUGGGUUGAGGGUAGGUGGAGAAGAAGCGCCGGCUAACUACGUGCCAGCAGCCGCGGUAAUACGUAGGGCGCGAGCGUUGUCCGGAAUUAUUGGGCGUAAAGGGCUUGUAGGCGGCUUGUUGCGCCUGCUGUGAAAACGCGGGGCUUAACUUCGCGCGUGCAGUGGGUACGGGCAGGCUUGAGUGUGGUAGGGGUGACUGGAAUUCCAGGUGUAGCGGUGGAAUGCGCAGAUAUCUGGAGGAACACCGAUGGCGAAGUCAGGUAACUGGGCCAUUACUGACGCUGAGGAGCGAAAGCAUGGGUAGCGAACAGG
rnacentral:rRNA from 1 species